GCUGAUUUAGCAUAUAUUUAAUGUGGUGGGUUGUAAACCCUUUGAAAUCCCUAAAGUUAAUCAGGA
rnacentral:tRNA from 1 species